rnacentral:rRNA from 1 species
AGUGAACGCUGGCGGUAGGCCUAACACAUGCAAGUCGAACGGCAGCACAGUAAGAGCUUGCUCUUACGGGUGGCGAGUGGCGGACGGGUGAGGAAUACAUCGGAAUCUACUUUUUCGUGGGGGAUAACGUAGGGAAACUUACGCUAAUACCGCAUACGACCUACGGGUGAAAGCAGGGGAUCUUCGGACCUUGCGCGAUUGAAUGAGCCGAUGUCGGAUUAGCUAUUUGGCGGGGUAAAGGCCCACCAAGGCGACGAUCCGUAGCUGGUCUGAGAGGAUGAUCAGCCACACUGGAACUGAGACACGGUCCGAACUCCUACGGGAGGCAGCAGUGGGGAAUAUUGGACAAUGGGCGCAGGCCUGAUCCAGCCAUACCGCGUGGGUGAAGAAGGCCUUCGAGUUGUAAAGCCCUUUUGUUGGGAAAGAAGAGCAGCAGGUUAAUACCCCGCUGUUCUGACGGUACCCAAAGAAUAAGCACCGGCUAACUUCGUG